AUUUGGCUUAUUUUCUUCAGCUUUUGCUCCAAAAUGUCUCCUUAUCUCCAUUCUUGUCCCAAUCCUUAGAAUACCUGAAAAAACUCU
rnacentral:sRNA from 1 species